rnacentral:misc_RNA from 1 species
AGCAGCCGCGGUAAUUCCAGCUCCAAUAGCGUAUAUUAAAGUUGUUGCAGUUAAAAAGCUCGUAGUUGAAUUUCGGGACCAUCAUGUUGGUCGUGCCUCGGUACGUACUGGCAUUGUUGGUUUCUCCCUUCUGACGAACCAUGAUGUCAUUUAUUUGGUGUCGUGGGAAAUCAGGACUGUUACUUUGAAAAAAUUAGAGUGUUUAAAGCAGGCUCACGCUUGAAUACAUUAGCAUGGAAUAAUGAAAUAGGACGUUUGAUUCUAUUUUGUUGGUUUCUAGGAUCGACGUAAUGAUUAAUAGGGAUAGUUGGGGGCAUUAGUAUUCAAUUGUCAGAGGUGAAAUUCUUGGAUUUAUUGAAGACUAACUACUGCGAAAGCAUUUGCCAAGGAUGUUUUCAUUAAUCAAGAACGAAAGUUAGGGGAUCGAAGACGAUCAGAUACCGUCGUAGUCUUAACCAUAAACUAUGCCGACUAGGGAUCGGAUGAUGUUAAUUUUAAUGUACUCAUUCGGCGUACCCG